UGGUGGGCUCAUUUGUAUCACUUGAUUUCGGCUCAAGCCUAGGGAAAUUUUUUCCCUCCAUCAG
rnacentral:tRNA from 1 species